CGCAGCGAAACAAAAAAGAAAAAGCCCAAACGAAAAAAUAACCCACGUUCCCCACCUCUCCCCACCCUCCUCGAUUCCCAGCCGCAGCCAUCCCCACCGCCGUGCGCCUCCCCUUCCUCCCAACGGCCGGCGAGCCUCCCCACGGCCGGGUCCAGGCCCGCUCCCACGCGCCGUCGCUGCCAUCUUCCCGGCGCACCGCGCCCACUCCCCAGAUUCCUCCACCGCCGCGCCACCUCCUGGAUCCCCGCCCCCUGCCGCGCGACCUCCCCGGAAUCCCCACACGCCUCGCCGGAUCCCACCGCUCCUCCACACGUCGGCCACCUCACGCCUCCACCACCCGGCGCCUGGUGGAGGCAAGAUUUGGGCGGCGCCUGGCUCCCCGCACACCAGCCGCCGUAGGCCACCGCGCGCCUCCGACGGGUCCUGCCACCUUGUCGCAUCUGGUCUUCUUGAGUCACCGGCCAGCUCCUGCGCUAUCACCAACCCACUGUACCAUUGAGGUGCUGCAGCACGGCAGGAGGCGGUGAUGUUCUCUUGAGGACAGGAGAAUGAGAUGAGGGAGAGAAAAACAGGACAAAUACUAUAUUGGUACCGUGUGGCAUGUGCUGAUCAUUGCGCCAGAGCUAAAAUGGUCACAUUAGUCUGGAGAAAUUGAUGGUUUUGCUCUCUCUUGCCCUUUCCUCAAAAAGCUACAGCUUACCAAAAAAUUCUGGUUCGAGGAGUUUCUGAAAUGCAUGAAACUUGAUGGUAGCUAGCUAUAUGGUUACCGAGCAUGUCGUUCUCUCCUCGUGCCCAUGCUGCAGUACCUGUACUUUUUUGGACGAGUUUGGUGAUAAUUUCUGCAGCUACAUACGCGACGCCUCCGUGACCUGCUGCACACCUGGAGUUGUAUCUAGUAACGUCUCCGGCAGUCAUGCUCGCUAGCGCACGGAGGUGCUACUGCAUGUUAGUGCUACAAGCACACAACGUGAAGGCUAUGGGAAAAUUAGAAAACAACAAAGCUUCCCUAUUCUUUCUCCACGUGCGACCUUCCCUGGCUCCUCUCUCUGACCUUCCGCCGAGCCUUUCCGGCAGCCACGCUUGGCGGCUUCCCUGGAACCUGCAGUUCUGUUGUGCUUGUACUAAUGCGCGAUUUAUUUGGCUUAAAAAAUUUGUUUUUGCGAAGGUCAAGAUGUUAUGUUGCAGAAGGUCAGGUGUGUAUUGUAUAUGUGUGUGUGUUUUAUUAAAAAUGCAUAUCUUCAUUGCAAAACAAUAUGUUCAUUCUUUGAUGUGAGGAUGGUUCCC